rnacentral:rRNA from 1 species
AUUGAACGCUGGCGGAAUGCUUUACACAUGCAAGUCGAACGGCAGCACGGACUUCGGUCUGGUGGCGAGUGGCGAACGGGUGAGUAAUGUAUCGGAACGUGCCCAGUCGUGGGGGAUAACGUAGUGAAAAUUACGCUAAUACCGCAUACGAUCUAUGGAUGAAAGCGGGGGAUCGAAAGGCCUCGCGCGAUUGGAGCGGCCGAUAUCAGAUUAGGUAGUUGGUGGGGUAAAGGCCCACCAAGCCAACGAUCUGUAGCUGGUCUGAGAGGACGACCAGCAACACUGGAACUGAGACACGGUCCAGACUCCUACGGGAGGCAGCAGUGGGGAAUUUUGGACAAUGGGCGAAAGCCUGAUCCAGCCAUUCCGCGUGCAGGAUGAAGGCCCUCGGGUUGUAAACUGCUUUUGUACAGAACGAAAAGGUUUCUACUAAUACUAGGAGCUCAUGACGGUACUGUAAGAAUAAGCACCGGCUAACUACGUGCCAGCAGCCGCCGUAA